rnacentral:lncRNA from 1 species
AGUCCUUCCUAGCCUCCUCAGGCGGGAGCCGCGGCCCACUCAGUCAGUUGCGGCCCACUCAGUCAGUUCCGGCCCCAGCCCCGACUACCUGUCGCCUUGUUGGGGGAAGGAAGGCAGAUACCGCAGCCCAGUCAGGGUAAGCCGCUGACCCAGAGGAUGGAACUGCGGCUCUGGAGAUUAGAAAGAGGAGGACUUCGCCGCGUUCACUAGCCCAGGAGGAAAGCCAGAACCCUAGGCCGGAACCCAGC